rnacentral:tRNA from 1 species
GUUCUCUUGGUGUAGUGGUAGCACAUGGCUCUGUCCAAGCCAUAGCAGGAGUUCGAUUCUCCUAGGGAACGC